rnacentral:rRNA from 1 species
GACGAACGCUGGCGGCGUGCUUAACACAUGCAAGUCGAACGGAAAGGCCCUGCUUUUGUGGGGUGCUCGAGUGGCGAACGGGUGAGUAACACGUGAGUAACCUGCCCUUGACUUUGGGAUAACUUCAGGAAACUGGGGCUAAUACCGGAUAGGAGCUCCUGCUGCAUGGUGGGGGUUGGAAAGUUUCGGCGGGUGGGGAUGGACUCGCGGCUUAUCAGCUUGUUGGUGGGGUAGUGGCUUACCAAGGCAUUGACGGGUAGCCGGCCUGAGAGGGUGACCGGCCACAUUGGGACUGAGAGACGGCCCAGACUCCUACGGGAGGCAGCAGGGGGGAAUAUUGCACAAUGGGCGGAAGCCUGAUGCAGCAACGCCGCGUGCGGGAUGACGGCCUUCGGGUUGUAAACCGCUUUCGCCUGUGACGAAGCGUGAGUGACGGUAAUGGGUAAGGAAGCACCGGCUAACUACGUG